AACUAACAUUCCGCGUUAAGGAUAGCAAUGGAAAUCCUUUUUUUGCUGCCAUUUAUGGCAAAAAAAGAUUGAAAUGGAUAGCCUGUUAAAAC
rfam:Polaribacter sp. KT25b genome assembly, chromosome: I